rnacentral:rRNA from 1 species
UACGUAGGUGGCAAGCGUUAUCCGGAUUUAUUGGGUGUAAAGGGCGUGUAGGCGGGAAUGCAAGUCAGAUGUGAAAACUCAGGGCUCAACCCUGAGCCUGCAUUUCAAACUGUGUUUCUUGAGUGCUGGAGAGGCAAUCGGAAUUCCGUGUGUAGCGGUGAAAUGCGUAGAUAUACGGAGGAACACCAGUGGCGAAGGCGGAUUGCUGGACAGUAACUGACGCUGAGGCGCGAAAGCGUGGGGAGCAAACAGG